rnacentral:rRNA from 1 species
ACACGACUACAUUAGAUACCCCUGUAGUCCUAGCCGUAAACGAUACUCGCUAGGUGUCGGCCAGGGUGCGACCGUUGUCGGUGCCGUAGGGAAGCCGUGAAGCGAGCCACCUGGGAAGUACGGCCGCAAGGCUGAAACUUAAAGGAAUUGGCGGGGGAGCACCACAACGCGUGGAGCCUGCGGUUUAAUUGGAUUCAACGCCGGACAUCUCGCCAGGGGCGACAGCAGAAUGAUGGCCAGGUUGAUGACCUUGCUUGACAAGCUG